UACGUAGGGUGCGAGCGUUGUCCGGAAUCAUUGGGCGUAAAGCGCAUGUAGGCGGCGGGAUAAGUGGUAUGUGAAAGCCCAGGGCUCAACCCUGGAAGUGCAUCCCGAACUGUGUCGCUUGAAUCUCGGAGGGGGACAGAGAAUUCCCGGUGUAGAGGUGAAAUUCGUAGAUAUCGGGAGGAAUACCAGUGGCGAAGGCGCUGUCCUGGACGAAGAUUGACGCUGAGGUGCGAAAGCGCGGGGAGCGAACAGG
rnacentral:rRNA from 1 species